GGGAGUGGGUUUACCAGGUGUCUCUACAAUUCAAAAAUUUAUGUAAUUAUAGCGUUAAUUCUCUUUACCCACAUUAGACAUUAGAAACCCUUAAGUAAUCUGAAACCUAUUUUUAUUAACUCACAUUGGAAACUGUCUUAAAUGGAAGUCUAAAUCAAACAAAAUCAAGAGUCUAAAUUCAGUAGAAAUACUUUUUUUUUUUCAGCAAACUACCCCUUCUGGACAAGUUUUUAAGAGUAAAAUGUUCCCGUUUUUUAAGUUAACCUGCUUUAGACCUCAUUGUGGUAGCUGUAUUUUUGUUUUUAUCUCCACCCCCUGUCAUUGUUGAUGAUAUAGCACUUGUCACUCUGCCUUGGAUUCUGUAUCUGUCUCUCUAAUCGGAGGUACAGUCGGUUGAGUAUAAAAUGAGGACCAGAUUUCAGAUCUGGGACUACCUACGUGCACUGUUCAAUUUUCCCAGUUUACAGUCGGACACUCAAGGGAAAACUUGCUCUUAUGCUGACAGAUUAGUGUGGUGUCAUUGCUUUGCAUUAAAAACAAAAAAAAGAACAAAAACAUGUUAAGAAAGAGAUGAACUAGAAACUGUUGCCAGCCAUGUCUCCUUCUGAGAACUAAACAUCAGUUUGGCUCUUGGAACUAUCAAUGCAGGAACCGCCAUAGAAAUAUCCUGCUUCAUACCAACUAUAGAAAUAUACUGCUCAGUACAGAAAAAUAAACAUUCUACAAAUUUCAUUUAAAAAGAUAAGUAAAAUGUGUUGUUGAUUUUUUUUAAGGUAACACUUCAAUAUCUUUAGGGGAGAACCUUAUUUAAAUUCAGUUUUAAUUUUUUGUUGUUCUACUGUUGUUUCUCUUUUCCGUCCUGGUGACAUCCAGGACUCGAUCACUAUGUAAUGAACAUGUCUCUCAUCUUUUUGCCUUCACUAUACACAAGUCUUCAGGUUGAACAAAAAUUUGAAUCGGGGAGAGAUUUAUGAUAUAUAAAUAUAUAGAGAGAACUUAAAACACAUAGGAAAAUGCACACUCAUGUAAGUUCCUAUGUUCAAAACACAUUUAUGGUCUACUUUUUUCCUGUAUUUAGAAUGGUAUUUGAAAUUAAUGUUCACUUAGUGUAGGCACUUAUAGUAUUUAUGUUGGAGCCUGUAUUUUUAACUGUUUUGCCUGUACUCUUUAAAGGUUUCAAUGUACCCUUUUUUCUGUAGUGAAAAAAAUCCCAACAAGCUGCCACCGUAUAUUUUCUUAUUUUGGCAGGAUAAUAUAGUGUGAAUAAUUUGUAUGCUUGAAAAUAAGUAUGUUUUUGAAAAAUAAAAUCUUGUGGUGUUCCCCAAGGGUGAGAGGUCAUAUGAUGGCCUUUUCAGGCAGUCCCGCUGGAGUGACCACAAUGAGGUAAAAACAGGUGGUUGUACAUAUCUUUUUAGUUUGUUUUAUAUAUUUUUCUCUCCUGCCAUUUUAUAUGCAGUAAUACAAGCUAUUGUUGGGUUUUCUUGGUAGCCAACUUUUUACUGUCCUUGAUCAUGUACCACCUGAUAACAUUCCAGCUGUUUUUUGAAAAAGACAUUUUGUCAUAUGCAAUCAAUCCAACAUCAAUCUGAAAAGCCUUUUUUUUGCUACAGUUUUCUUUUAGUUAUUUUGAUUUUUUUUUUCAUUGCCAAAAGGACCAUGGUGCUUUAUAAUUUAAAUAUGGUACAUCUCAUAUGCAAGGCAUAUCCUAAAUAGAACUGAAAUCAUGAAAAGAAAAGUUUGGUACAUGUUAUCAUUGUUGAUGGUAUUGAGGUACGUUUAAGUUUUCAGCCUGAUUUCAUCCUGUGUUCUGUAUUUACUCUCAAGCUAUUUGUUCUGAACUGAACUUGAAGUUGACCUGUGGCAUUGGCCAACAUUAUUUAUUAUGACUAUACACACACACACAUGCUCUGUUCAGAACAGAGUUACUGCAAAACAAACCAGUUCAGUUUUCUCCCUCCUGAUGAAUUGCGAUGGCUUAAUUUCUCUGUUCGAUGACCAAAGGUCAUUGACCGACAUUUAUGAGUUCUUUCUCAACCUACAGAUUUUUGUUGUUGUUAUAUUUCAGUUAUGGAGAUGCCACUCUAUUUUCAGCUGUUGUCUGCAUUAUUCUCUUCACUCAGCCAUUUUGUCUUGAAAAAAAAUAAAAAGUAUUACAUAC
ensembl:lncRNA